rnacentral:lncRNA from 1 species
UAACAACCACCACCAGUAUUGGUCCCAAGCAAGUUGGCUAUGCUUUAGAGUGAAAGAUUGGACGAUUAUUUGCCAACAAUGAAUAACAUUCAUAUGUACAUUGCACCGCAGAGAACAGUUACCUUGCACUAUACACGAGCCACACUACCCCCCACGCAGUGAAAAUUGUUGCAAACCGAACGGGCAACCUUCUUUACCAUGACCAACCUUCGAGUUUCGAUCACCUGACACGUGUACGUACAUACUAUGAGCAUGGAUUCAGGCCAAUCGGAUCAAAGCUAGGCGGCGUUGUUGCCGCCGCGGAGGUCCUCGAAGCUCCAGUCCCGGCGGAUGGCGCCGCUGCGCCGGAGACGCGGCGUCGGCGAGGCCCCGUCGCCGAGCCGCGCCACGUCCACGUCCGCCACCGACGACUUGCACUUGCGCACCAUCUUCUUGAUCAUCGUCUUGGUCGCCGCCGCCGCCCUCUUCGUCGGCGUCGUCGGCUGCUUCGGCUGCUUCUGCUGCUGCUGAUGCUGCCCAUCCCCCUCCUCCGGCCCCUCCUCCUCCUCUAUGGCGCCGACGUCGUCGGCGUCGUCCAGCGUCAAGGCCGCCGAGCCGGGCGUCCUCACCGGGGCGAACCGCGUCUGCGUCGGCUUCCCGUCCGCCGCGAAGCCCCGCUGCAGCGCCGUGCAGCACGUGGCCGUCUGCGGCUGCAGAUCGGNCCGUCGUCGCCGCCGCCGCCGCCGCCGCGGCUGGGCGCCAGGUUACACGUCAGGUGCGCCUUGCUGCCGGUCGCCUUCAUCGAUCCCCGCGCCGUCGAUCGAACGGAAACGCGCGUAGUAGUAUACUAAUUAAUUGGACAGAACGAGGGACGUCCGGCCGGCGAGCUCCAUGGAUGGAUCCAUUUUAUCCUCUGCAUGCAUGCUAGGGCGGCACCCGGCCUCCGCGGGCUAAUUAUGGAUGUGUUUACCUAAAUCUGGAUGUAACAUAGCUGCAACGCGUGUCUCAAAC